rnacentral:rRNA from 1 species
UACACGCUGUGACUAGCAUAUCAAUAAGCGGAGGAAAAGAAACUACCGAGGAUUCCCCUAGUAACGGCGAGUGAAGCGGGAAGAGCUCAAAUUUGAAAUCUUAAAGGGUUUCCCUUUACGAAUUGUAGUUUAAAGAAGUGUUUUCUGUUGAGGUUUUGGUAAAAGUUCUUUGGAAUAGGACAUCAUAGAGGGUGAGAAUCCCGUAUUUGACCUUUACUUUCAACUUUGUGAUACACUUUCAAAGAGUCGGAUUGUUUGGGAAUGCAGUCCAAAAUGGGUGGUAAAUUUCAUCUAAAGCUAAAUAUUGGCGAGAGACCGAUAGCGAACAAGUACCGUGAGGGAAAGAUGAAAAGAACUUUGAAAAGAGAGUUAAACAGUACGUGAAAUUGUCAAAAGGGAAGCGUUUGACACCAGUGUUGUUUUUCUGAAAAUCAAUUAAAGAACUGUUUAUGCUAAGUUGUUUAGACUUUAUCAGCUAACUGUUUAGUUUUGAGCUUUUCUUUAAUGCACUUUUCAGUUAACAAGUCAACAUCAAUUUCUUUUGCUGUAAAAAAGCUUGAGGAAGGUGGCUUGAGAUUCGUCUUAAGUGUUUAUAGCCUCUUGCCUAUGCAGUCGGAGAGAUUGAGGUCUGCAGCGUAGAUCCUUCGGGGCUAAAUGCAUUUGUGCUAAGUUAUAGCAUUUUAUAGACAACUUGUUGACUAUGAUUUGUCUUGUAGCUUACUCGCUUAUGUUAUUUUACCUACGCUUAGGAUGUUGACAGCAGUAUAGACUGUACACGCUGUGACUAGCAUAUCAAUAAGCGGAGGAAAAGAAACUAACAAGGAUUCCCCUAGUAACGGCGAGUGAAGCGGGAAGAGCUCAAAUUUGAAAUCUUAAAGGGUUUCCCUUUACGAAUUGUAGUUUAAAGAAGUGUUUUCUGUUGAGGUUUUGGUAAAAGUUCUUUGGAAUAGGACAUCAUAGAGGGUGAGAAUCCCGUAUUUGACCUUUACUUUCAACUUUGUGAUACACUUUCAAAGAGUCGGAUUGUUUGGGAAUGCAGUCCAAAAUGGGUGGUAAAUUUCAUCUAAAGCUAAAUAUUGGCGAGAGACCGAUAGCGAACAAGUACCGUGAGGGAGAGAUGAAAAGAACUUUGAAAAGAGAGUUAAACAGUACGUGAAAUUGUCAAAAGGGAAGCGUUUGACACCAGUGUUGUUUUUCUGAAAAUCAAUUAAAGAACUGUUUAUGCUAAGUUGUUUAGACUUUAUCAGCUAACUGUUUAGUUUUGAGCUUUUCUUUAAUGCACUUUUCAGUUAGCAAGUCAACAUCAAUUUCUUUUGCUGUAAAAAAGCUUGAGGAAGGUGGCUUGAGAUUCGUCUUAAGUGUUUAUAGCCUCUUGCCUAUGCAGUCGGAGAGAUUGAGGUCUGCAGCGUAGAUCCUUCGGGGCUAAAUGCAUUUGUGCUAAGUUAUAGCAUUUUAUAGACAACUUGUUGACUAUGAUUUGUCUUGUAGCUUACUCGCUUAUGUUAUUUUACCUACGCUUAGGAUGUUGACAGCAGUAUAGACUGU